CUCGUUUUCUAGAGACGGGGAGCGGACACAGACAGGCGCCAGUCUGUGUGGACAGAGGAGGACGAUCUUGUCCAUUGUGCCCGCUGCAAGAGACACACAGCCAUAGCACACAGAUCACGCAUGAAUUUAUCGAGGGUCCUGACCCAUGUGGAUGAUGAGAGUGAUGUCAGCUGCAGAAACAUCACAGAGACGGCCAGCAUUCACUUGUGAUGUGUAGCUCGGACGCACUCGUCGUAGGAGGGAUGAUUUCGAACUGACCAAAAGCAGAAUAAUGAACUGAAUUACAAAGGGACGCCCUGGUCGGCAGAAGUUGGACGGAAACCACGUUGGAGGUCUGGUGUCCAGCAAGCCAGCAAUGCAGCAGCAGGGCACUGAUGUCUGCCCAUCACAGACGUCUGGCUGCGAGGCCGCCCCCUGCUCCCCAGUGCAAAGGAAGCAGAAUUCAGGCAACGCGGUGAAUGUUUCUCAGGCCUCGCUGAGGGAGAAAGCACCAGUUCAGGAUGCAGGGGACAUGAGUCCAAGCCAAAAAGAGAGAUGGUUUCAAACGAUGAAACUCAACCAAGUUUUGCCACAGUUUACCGCGUCAGGUCACAUUGCAGAUGGAACCAGUGCAUUUGAUAAUGAUUCAGUGAAAUGCCAAUCUUCAGGAGGCCCUCUAGGUGGCUCUAUUACCUCACCUCAAUCCAGAUCCAGUGAAACUACCUUGGACAUCAGUGCCCCCUCAGUGCCUCCAAAUAGAGUAACAUUGCACCCAUCAGGGACGACGGAAGCGUGCCAGCUACAAUCCAAAAUGUCCACAAAAGGCAGCUCCUCCACAGCUACACCCCAUCCGGGUGUUCCCAGGCCGGCUGUACCGUCACCUAAAGCACAACAAAAGCCACAAGUAGGAUGCAAUCAGCCGAAACCUUUAAACGUUGAGGUCACCGCAGGCCUCAAAACCGCGUCGUCCACCCACCUCGCCUCCCUCAAGGCUGGGAGGAGUGGAGCGGCGAACGACGCGAGUCAGGUCGGACUCAAAACGAGUGCCUUGGUAACCGGCGGGAGCGACGACAGUGUUGAUAAGACACGAGUGACCCCGGUGUCAGAGGAGGAAAGAGUAGCCAAGCGUAGGGAGCAGUGGCGGAUAAAAAAGAGGGAACAGAGAGCGAAGCUGGCAGCUAGGUCGACGAAAAGCAGAGAGCGAACACAAUUCACAGGAACAACGCUCCCGAGGCCGGUAACGCAGAAGGCAGGGGUAUCGCACGGUGGAGGUCUCAAACAUCCCCCUCCCCUAUCUUCUGUACAAAGUAUGUGCCCAAAACAAAGCGUGAGUAGCCCCAGGCCUCGAGAGGCACCUGCCAAUCGCUUACUGCAGAACGCUCGAGUGACGCUUGAUUCAUCUUCUGUGCCUCGACUUGUCAAGAAAGAGGAGAAAACGGACGAGGAGUCGGGGCCAGCCAGGUUGAACCCAGUUGGACCUAGUCCGAAUCAGAACACGUUAUUAAUUAAAGUAGAAAACCCGCAGGUCUCUAGGAAAGCACAGCCCGCUUUCACGCCUAACGUCAAGGUGGAACGAAGGAUAGAUUACCCCAGGAAGUUUUCGAACCACGCGUAUUUUUCCAACGUCAACCGGGCGAUCGCCAGAUGCCGAACGCCGCGGCAGAGACUCGUCGAAACGCAGAAGUGUUUCUCCAAUCAACGGAACUUAAGAGUCAAGUUCCCGUCCCUCGCCGCCAUCUACAAUUCGCGGAACGUCCCCAAAAUCCUCCCUAACGAGUCUCCCGAGCAGACGGCCUCCAGACGGAGGGAGUACUGGCGCAUCAAGAAGCGGGAGCAGCGCGCCAAGCAGUCCCUGGAGGUGAAGGCCCAGCUGAAGGAGAAGGACUCCCUGAUGAGGAGAGUCAAACGUUACCAGAAGAUCCUGGAGGAGAUGAGGAGGGCCCGAGCGCAGACCGUCGCCCUGGGGGGCCGGUCGACGGGCGGGAUGCUCACCCACGCCUCGGAGACCAUCGGCGGGUUCAUCAAAGAGGACGGGACGGUGACCGUCAGCCUUCCCCCGGUGCCGACGGACACGGCGGCGGCGGCGGGGCACGAGGCGGAACAGACCUCUUGUCUGCUCUCCGACGAUGGCGUCGUCGCGCACUCGCCGCAUCCGUCUCACGCCGGGCCUCUGGGCCACGGCAGGGACGCCGCGCUCGGGUACUCGGGACGGCUCGGCCACCGCCCGCCCCCGCCGCUGCGUCCGGCUCAGGUCCGAGUCACGCUGCCGCGGGACGGCCAGUCCGCCAACAAGCCUCCGCGCCUGCUGUCCAUCAGGCCCAGGACGCACUUUCAGAGAUCGGCCGCGGCGCACUCCAACCGCUCGGCGGGGCACAACGCCGCUCAGAUCACUCUCACGCACCCUCCGUUUCCCCGGGCCGCCGGGUCCGAGGUGUCAGCGACGGGGGUCAGCGGCGGCGGCGGCGGAGGCUGCGUCAUGAAGAUGGCGGUCUCUUCGCUGUUGGCGCCGCCGUGUGAGGACGCGGGGCUGACCGAGGAGCAACGCAUGGCCAAGAAGAGAGAGUACUGGAGGGUGAAGAAGAGGGAGCAGAGGGCGGCCCGGGCCACUAAGCUGAAGCACGGCUUAUUGCCGGCGUGGGACGCAGCCAUGCAAAGGAGGAAGACCCACAAGCAGACGCCCCUUCAGCGGUCGGCCAUGACGGCCAAUACCGCUACGCAAAUCAGGAAUUCUGCCAAACAGAAAAUGAACGUCCUCCCCUCCUGUAAUGUUAAUGUGCCUAAUCCUCAGCAGGCGAAGCAGAUCAAAGUGGAGAGGGAACCCGUACCGGCCUCUGACCUAAACAUUCGACCUGAACGAGCCAUCUGUCCAAUCAAACAGGCCCCCUCGCCGUCGCCUCCGCUGGCCUUGCCUCAGCCAGAGCCCGAUCCAACCCUGAGUGCCGAAACCCAGGCGACCACUCUUCUCGCCGUGGCCUCCAUGAAAAAGCUGCUGGAAGAAUCCCUCAGCACCGUGACUGAAUGUCAGCCCGCCGCCAUAAAAACAGAGCCGCCGCCUCCUUGUAAAGCCGAGAGAGAGGAGGACGUCUCAGACGAGCACUUGGUGCAGGAGAUGAAAUCGGAGAUCCCGGAGGCCUCCCUAGGAGGAGAAGAAGACGACGACAAGCUGCCGUUGGCUGCCAACCUGACGCUGCAGAUCAAAAGCUGGCAGGCGGACCCUGAUGACUCGGGGCAUGCCUGUCCGCGAGACCCUUACCCUUAUGCCUCAACCCAGACCGGCGAAUCCUCCACCCCGCUGUCCUCCACAACCCCGGACCCCCAGUGCCCCACUGCCUUAGGCGAGGGGGGUCCGACGCAGACGUUGUCUCCCCUACGUCGGGCCAAAAGGCUGUGCACCAAAAAGUCGGGCAAUCACCUUCAGCAUUGUUGCUCCUCAGAGCCGCCGAGGCUGCACCACUCCCCCGCCACGCCGCCGCCGCCGCCACAGAGGGUGCAACCGGCGGCGCCGCCUUCACGAUGCCUACUGCAGCCUCGGCCGUCCGCUCCGCAGCAACCGUUCAGGAGGCCGCUGUUCGUGGAGCCUGUGGGAGGGGAGGGCGGUAUGAGCUGUGGCAACAGCCUGCAGGAGAAGAGGGAGUACUGGAAGCUGAAGAAGAGACAGCAGAGAGCCCGCUCAAAAGCCAGGCAGAAGGGGGGGCCGGGUCACAGACAGAACAGCAGGCUCUCGUCCCAAAACAACGCACAGACUCUGAAUCCCCUCUCGGUCAACCACGCCCCGUCGGGGAAGAGCCCGACGAGUCCGCCGGCCAAACGCUGCCUGCAGCCCAAGGCCCCCACCGCCACUCUCACCGCGGUGCACAGCAUCCCCACGCUGCUGGUGGUCAGUCCCACCGCGUCCAACGACGGGCGCUCCCCCGACCUGCUCCAGGUCAAACCGCCGGUCUGCAGCUCCACCUCCUCGCCUGGCCGGGGCCGGCGCGAGGUCAACGCCCGGCCCUCCGGCACGUCCUGUGACCCCGACGCGUCGGAGUGCCACAAGGGCGCGACGGCGGACGGCGACGUCGACGUCCCCUCGUCCGACGGGGUGUCGGACGCCGAGCUGCGUCUGGCGGAGAAGCCGACGCCCGAGUCCAGAGUGAGGAGGUGGACCGUGCACGAGAAUAGCAACGCGGCGCCGGCUCUCGCUACUCUCACCCCCCCAGACAACCCGCUGUCCAGCAUCAACCUCUUCCCCAUCGAGCCCCUCGCUCCGACCUCGGGUCGCCACGCCUCUUACGGCAGCCCCGUGAGGCCCGCCCACACUCAGCCCCCCAAGCCCAAACCCGCGCAUGCCUCCCCGACCAAACUGGUGCCCUUAAGCACCCUGGCCCCCCCGAAACCCAUCCCGGGGGAGUCCCAGGAAGAGUUCCUGAGGCGGAAGAGGGAGUACUGGAGGGUCAAGAAGAAGGAGCAGAGAGCGAGGAAGGCCAUCCGGGACCGGGAGCUGUCCCAAAGGAGAGCGCCUGGCAACUGGAAGCCCAUUAGGCCCGCUAAGGACCAAGAGCGGCCCCAAUACACCGAGAACCAGGACCUGGGAGAUUGUGACCCUGCCUACGAGGACUCGGAACGUCUUAUGAGGCAAGCAGCACUGGAUGUUAUGGAUAAACCUCCCAAUGUCUGUGGAAGCGCCGCCUAA
rnacentral:lncRNA from 1 species